UACGGAGGAUGCGAGCGUUAUCCGGAUUUAUUGGGUUUAAGGGGUGCGUAGGCGGACGCUUAAGUCAGCGGUAAAAUUGCGGGGCUCAACCUCGUCGAGCCGUUGAAACUGGGUGCCUUGAGUGGGCGAGAAGUACGCGGAAUGCGUGGUGUAGCGGUGAAAUGCAUAGAUAUCACGCAGAACUCCGAUUGCGGAGGCAGCGUACCGGCGCCCUACUGACGCUGAAGCACGAAGGCGUGGGUAUCGAACAGG
rnacentral:rRNA from 1 species